UUUCACAAUGGGCGAAASCUGAUGGAGCGACGCCGCGUGGGGGAUGAAUGGCUUCGGCCCGUAAACCCCUGUCAUUUGCGAACAAACCUUACUAUUUAAAAVAUVAUGAGCUGAUUGUAGCGAAAGAGGAAGGGACGGCUAACUCUGUGCCAGCAGCCGCGGUAAUACAGAGGUCCCAAGCGUUGUUCGGAUUCACUGGGCGUAAAGGGUGCGUAGGUGGUGAGGUAAGUCGGAUGUGAAAGCUCCGAGCUCAACUCGGAAAUGGCAUUGGAAACUACCUUGCUAGAGGGUUUGAGGGGGGACUGGAAUACUUGGUGUAGCAGUGAAAUGCGUAGAUAUCAAGUGGAACACCAGUGGCGAAGGCGAGUCCCUGGAAAACUCCUGACACUGAGGCACGAAAGCUAGGGGAGCAAACAGGAUUAGAUACCCUGGUAGUCCUAGCCGUAAACGGUGCGUAUUUGCUGUAAAAGGAAUCGACCCCUUUUGUGGCGUAGCCAACGCGUUAAAUACGCCGCCUGGGAAGUACGGUCGCAAGAUUAAAACUCAAAGAAAUUGACGGGGGCCUGCACAAGCGGUGGAGUAUGUGGCUUAAUUCGAUGCAACGCGAAGAACCUUACCUGGCCUUGACAUGCAAGUAGUAGAACCAUGAAAGUGGGACGAGCCCGCAAGGGCAGCUUGCACAGGUGCUGCAUGGCUGUCGUCAGCUCGUGUCGUGAGAUGUUGGGUUAAGUCCCGCAACGAGCGCAACCCUUGUGUCCUGUUGCCACCUCUACGAGAGUAGGGAGCACUCUGGACAGACUGCCUCGCUUAAACGAGGAGGAAGGUGGGGAUGACGUCAAGUCAGUAUGGCCCUUACGGCCAGGGCUGCACACGUACUACAAUGCCCGGCACAGAGGGAAGCGAGACCUUAAGGUGGAGCAAAUCCCACAAAACCGGGCCCAGUUCAGAUUGUCGUCUGCAACUCGACGGCAUGAAGCUGGAAUCGCU
rnacentral:rRNA from 1 species